AUGGCAUACGAUAUGCUCCAUGAGAUUAGCAAUCAGAAGGAUUCCUGGAAAGUCAAGGUCAGAAUAAUUAGGCUAUGGGAUGCCAUUGAUCUCAACAACAAUGAACUUAUUAGCCUUGACAUGAUACUACUUGAUGAAGAGGGUACUAUGAUACAUGGCAAGGUAAUGAAGCAUAUGGUUAACAAGUUCAGACCAUUGAUCCAAGAAGGUUUAGUCUACAUGAUAGCAAAUUUUAAGGUUAUGUCUGCAAUGAAUUUCCGUCCAGUUGAAAGCGAAAAGGUUCUAAAUUUCUUGCACACGGCAAAAAAUCAAGAGAUAAAAGGUCAAAAAAUAUCAAAAUAG
rnacentral:rRNA from 1 species